AUCGCUGUGUGUGACUGGCGGAGCAUGGGGAACCAUGAGGAAGCACACGGACAUACGAGCCGUACGCCUGGCAGAGGUA
rnacentral:ncRNA from 2 species